GUUCUGUCUGUCAGCCGCUUUGGUACGCUGCAUCGGGAUCGAAGUGACGGACCGUGAAGGCGCGAGAGUCAGGUCUGAGGGUCGGGGGCAGAGCCGCCCGCGAGGCUGGCCUGGGGAUAGCGGUGCUCGGGUUCCCCCCGGGUCGCCCGCAGCUCCCGGUCCAGCUCCGCCCACAGACUCGGAUGGCGACCGCACUGAGGGACCCGGCUUCGGGCCGUGGGAGCCAUAGAGAGCUUGCGCAAACGAGAGACACCAUCUGAGUUAAAUUUGAAAAAUCCUCUGCAGGCUGUUCAGUGGAAGAAAAGACUUUAGAGAUGGAUGAGGACGUUGAGGCAGAGGGAGGUUGAAUAUUUUUCCAAGGCCACACAACUGGUGAGAGGCAGCACUAAGGACCGAGGCGCACAGGUUCCCAUAGCUACAGAGGUGCUUUUCAAACUUACACAGGUAAGUGGAGGUAUCUCA
rnacentral:sRNA from 1 species